GACGAACGCUGGCGGCGUGCUUAACACAUGCAAGUCGAACGGUAAGGCCCCAGCUUGCUGGGGUACACGAGUGGCGAACGGGUGAGUAACACGUGGGUGACCUGCCCCGCACUUCGGGAUAAGCCUGGGAAACUGGGUCUAAUACCGGAUAGGACCGCACCGUGAGGGGGUGGUGGAAAGUUUUUCGGUGUGGGAUGGGCCCGCGGCCUAUCAGCUUGUUGGUGGGGUAAUGGCCUACCAAGGCGGCGACGGGUAGCCGGCCUGAGAGGGUGGACGGCCACAUUGGGACUGAGAGACGGCGCAGACUCCUACGGUAGGCAGCAGUGGGGAAUAUUGCACAAUGGGCGGAAGCCUGAUGCAGCGACGCCGCGUGGGGGAUGACGGCCUUCGGGUUGUAAACUCCUUUCACCAUCGACGAAGGUUUUCUGACGGUAGAUGGAGAAGAAGCACCGGCUAACUACGUG
rnacentral:rRNA from 1 species